rnacentral:lncRNA from 10 species
AGUUCCAAGGUUUAAAACUGGGGAAGUUAGAGACAUGUUAUUAUUAUUUUUUUUAAUUUCAACUUUUAUUGUAGACACAGGGAGUACAUGUGCAGGUUUGUUACAUGGGUAUAUUGCACCCAGGUAUUGAGCAUAGUACUCAAUGGGUAGUUUUUCAACCCACAUCUCCCUUGCUCCCUCCCCUGUCUAGUGGUCCACAGUGCCUAAUGUUCCCAUGUGUAUGUCCAUGUAUGCUCAAUACCAUAAUCCUAAGUGAAUUAAUGCAGGAACAAAGACAUGUUUUUGUUUUUGUUUGAAUGCUACAUCUGGGGCUGGCUAGGAUUGAGAAGACACUAUGUCUUGCUGAUAUGUCAGUCGCAACUUCAGCCUCUUUUGUGUGUGUGUGUGUAAAAAAGAAAUCUUUUUUAUUUAUUUAUUUUCAAAUUAUAAAUUCAUAGGGUACAUAUGCAGGCUUGUUACAUGGGUGUAUUGCAUAAUGCUGGGUUUAGGCUUCUAGAGAACCCAUCACCCAAAUAGUGAACAUAGUAUCCAAUAGGUAGUUUUUCAAUUCUUGUCCCCCUUUCCACCCUCCCCACUUUUGGAUUUCUCAGAUCUAUUUUUUCCAUCUUUAUAGCCACCAACAUGAGUCUUUUGAUGAAAUAAUGUUUGGCUGAGGUCCACAACUUAAAACAACAUUCCAAUAUAGAUUCUCAUGAUCCCUGAAGAAGUGUGUCUGAUGUGGCUAAACAUCAUCAAAUGAGUAAGUCAACAUAGUAAAAGAAAAGAACAGUUCUUUAUCAGAUUAAAUGAGCGAAACAGCUAAAUGUCAAGUGACAAAACAUUGGGACUGACUGUAUAAAAUGCUAAUAACAUCUACCAAACAGUUUACAUUGUGCUAAACAACUUAUGCACAUUAUUUCUUUGAUUCUUUUUAACACAUGGUUGUGGGCUGAAUGGUGUCUCCCAAGAAGUCAUAUGCCGGGAUCCUGUCCCAUAGUGCCUCACAACGUGACAUUGUUUGGAGUUAGGGUUGUUGAAGAUGUCAUUAGUCAAGAUGAGGUCAUACUUGAGUGAGGUGGGUUUCUAAUCCAAUGUGACUGGUGUCUGUGAAAAGGGGAAAUGUGGACACAGGUCCACAUAUAAGGAGAACACCAUGUGAAGAUGAAGGUAGAAAUUACAGUGAUGUGUCUACAAGCCAAGGAACACCAAAGAUUGACAGAAAAUCACCAGAAGCCUAGAGAGGCAUGAAACAUUCUCCCUCAGAGCCUUCAGAAGAAAGCAAUCCUGCUGGCACCUUCAUCUUGGACUUUGAGCCUCUAGAACUGUGAGGCAAUACAUUUCUGUUGUUUAAGCCACCCAGUUUGUGGCAUUUUGUUACAGCAGCACUGGAAUCCUAAUGGAUGCUGUAUUAGAUAAAUAUUUUAGGCUUAGGUAGGUAUUUUUUGAUCACUUCUAUGCAAUGGCUUGACUAUUGUUCUAUUUGUCCCUAAAUCUGGUUCUUCAGCCUCCCCAGUGAUUCUGUGAGCUAGGAAGAAGAGAACUGUAGACAUGCAGCAGCCAUCUUGUGGAUAUGAGGGAAGAGCCAAAUAGACUACAAAUCGGUUAACACAGAGAACUAAAAUUGUGGAGCUACUGAAUGAACCAGCUAUGGAAUUGUCUGUGUGUGGGCAUUCAGAUGGACAUACCGGAUAAAAUUCUGGACUGGUAAGAGUGUGGGGAAAUUGCCAGUCUUAAGCAGUGCUGAUGGAGGUGUGAAUUGGUAAAACAAUUUGAAAAGUAAGUUGCUAGUUUUUAUAAAAUUUUUAAAAAUAAAUGUAUUCUCUGACCCAGUAUUAUCUUUUCUGGGAAUCUAUUUUACACAUUAAAAAAGCACUAGAUUGUCAUAUACUAUAUAUAUAUAUAUAUGUCAUAUAUAGUUAUACAUAUAAGCCAUAUAUAUUUAUACACAUAAUUAUAUAUCUAUUAAAAUACCUGAAGGAAUGGUCAAUAUAAAGAGUAUCAUCCAAUUUUUAAAGAAGACAGGGAUAAAAACCCCUCUGUGCUUUUUGGGGGGAUCUAUUUGUAUGGAGCAGAUAAACACAUGGAAAGAUAAGUAUCAAACUGUUGCCAUUGGUUACUUCAAGGGAGUGAGUUUAUAACAAGAAAGUGGAAGCAGAUAACAUUAAAGUUUUCCUUAUAUGACUCAGUAUUAUUUGACUCAUUUCAAUAAGCAUGCAUUAUUUUUUACAUAAAACACAUCCGGAGUGGAAAAGCUUUUUCCAAACACUGUCAUUAUGUCAUGCUAAUAAGUGAGUUUUGGGAAGCAGCAUAGUCCAGUGGUUGUGAACACAAGAUUGGAGUAACUUCUGGAUUUAAAUACUGGCCUUUUACUAACUGUAGAGUUUGAGCAGAAUACUUUCUCUUUAAGUAUAGCUGUCCUCAUUUACAAAUGGAGAUGGUGAUAUCUGUUAGUCCCCUGCCUUCUACUGCCUGCUGUAGGACAAUUUCCCAUUCCUUUCAGCAACCCUUCAGUGAAGAGAGGGGCCACAAAGGCAAAGGAAUCUUAGCUAAUAGGCACUAUAGCAAUUUUCUAAAUACUUUAUUUUUUUUAGAGCAAUUUUAGGUUCACAGAAAAACUAAGAGUCAGGUGCAGAGAUUUCCCAUAUGCUUCCUGCCCCACAUGCAUAGUCUCCUGCAUUAUCAACAUCUCCCACCAGAGUGGUACCUUUGCUACAAUUGAUAAACCUAUAUCAACACAUCACAAUCAUCCAAAGUCCAUAGUUAAUAUUAGGGUUUACUAUUGCUGUUGUGCACUCUAUGAAUCUGGGCAAAUGUAUAGAGACAUGUAUCUAUUACCAUAGUACCACACAAAAGCAUUUCCACUGCUUUAAAAACUCUGUGUCUGCCUAUUAACCCUCCCAAACCAUCAUAGUAACCUAUUUCAUGAGAGACCUACAGCUUAUUACCUUGCUGUGUGGAAUGAAAACUCUCUCACAAAGAAUAGGAAUUAUCUUCUCUUAGUUGGCCUUGGAAUAAGUACAGAGAAGUUAGCAAAUGCAGAUGCUUGAAAUCUGAGCUUGCUGUUACCCUGAAAACAAAGCACACAAGACUGCCAUUCUUUGUGCUAGCAAUUUUCUUCAUUUGCUGUAUAUCCACAAGGAAUGGAGAAGUGUCUUUCUUUUUGCCUCUGUCUGAAGAAAUAUACACCAUACCUUAUUUAUUCAAGUAUUUGAUUUAAUUCAUAGGUAUAACCUCAUAAAGAAAGUUUUUAAUCCACCCUACCUAAGCCUAAAAUAUUUAUCCAAUACAGCGUCCAUUAGGAUUCUAGUGCAUAGGAUUGCAUAGAAGUGAUCAAAAAAUACAUGUUUGAGAUGAAGCAUAUGUUAAUUACCCUGAUCUGAUCACUCAUUCUGUCGCCAGGCUGGAAUGCAGUGGCGCAAUCUCGGUUCACUGCAACCUCUGCUUCCCCGGUUCAAGAGAUUCUCCUGCCUCAGGCUCCUGAGUAGCUGGGACUACAGGCGCACGCCACCACACCCAGCUAAUUUUUGAAUUUUUAGUAGACACGGGUUUCACCAUGUUGGCCAGGAUGGUCUUGAUCUCUUGACCUCGUGAUCCACCCACCUCAGCCUCCCAAAGUGCUGGGAUUACAAGUGUGAGCCUCCGUGCCCGGUGUUUAUUUUUUCAAUUUUUAAUACAUUAAUUUAAUGAAAAAAUAAACAAGACCAUUCCAAAAUCAUGGAAAAUAAAAAUGCACACUACUACCAAUUCUGCACCAAAAAAUUAAACUUGCAGUAACUGCCAACUGCCUCUAGAUAAUUUUUUUUUUUUUUUUUUUUUUUUUUUUGAGACAGAGUUGUUCUGUUGCCCAGGCUGGAGUGCAAUGGUGCAAUCUUGGCUCACCGCAACCUCUGCCUCCUGGGUUCAAGCUAUUCUCCUGCCUCAGCAUCCUGAGUACUGGGAUUACAGGCAUGUGCCACCAUGCCUGGCUAAUUUUUGUAUUUUUAGUAGAGACAGGGUUUCGCCAUGUUGGGCAGGCUGGUCUCAAACUCCUGACCUCAGGUGGUCCACCCACCUUGGCCUCCCAAAGUGCUGGGAUUACAGGCAUGAGCCACCACGCCCGGCUGAGAAUUUCUUACUGUGAUAUUGUGAAAUAUAUAUUUGGUAUCUGCACCUGGUUCCUGAGACAGAGCUCCUAAUAACCUCGUAGAUAGGGGUGCUAAGAGAAUCUUUUGUUCUAAUGUUUGGUCUCUGAGCCCAGUUUUGGCACAGAGCUUCUAAGACCUUUAUAAUUUCCUGAGUGCUAAGAGUGUCUGACAAAGAACUUCUAAAUCCCUUGGAAUUUCCUAGGCAACAGAAGCAUCUUCUGUUCUAAUGAAGUGACUCUUGGUGUGUACCCGGAUAACCUCAUGACUGGAGUUGGUUGGCUGCUAGAAGAACAAAUCAUGUGAUUAGAGUGUUGGAACUUUCAACCUUAGCCCUCAACUUCUGGGGAGGGGAGAAGCGCAAAAGGUAGAGUUGACCACUAAUGGCCAGUGAUUUAACUAAUCAUGCCUAUGUAAUGAAGCAUCCAUAAAAAACUAAAGAUCACGGUGCAGAGAGCUUCUAGAUUGCUGAAUAAGUGGUAGUUCCUGGAGGAUGAUGCACCCAGAGAGGCAUGGAAGCUCUGUACCUCUUUCCACAUGUCUUUGCCUAUGCAUUUCUUCCAUCUGGCGGAUCAUCUGUUUGCUUUGUAGUAUUUUGUAUUUAAAAAAUGGAUAAAUGUAAAUAAAAUGUUUCCCUGAGUUAUGUGAGCCACUAUAGCAAAUUAAUUGAACCAAGGAGAUCAUGGAAACCCCAAUUUAUAGCUGGUUGUUCAGAAGCACAGGCCAAAGCCUGGAGCAUGUGAUUGGCAUCUGAAGUUGGGGGGAGUCUUGAGGAAUGGAGCCCUCGACCUAUGAAAUCGGACACUAACUCCAAGUAGAUAGUUGGGUGAAUUAGAAGACACCCAGCUGGUGUCCACUAGAGAAUUGUCUGGUGUUUGGGAAAAACUCACACCCAGUUUGGUGACCAGAGUUGAAGUGUAGUGUUGAGAAUAGAGAGUAAGAAAAAAGUCUGCUUUUCCAUCAAAGGUACCACGUCUGUUUCUCAUACUACUUGAAGGAGUCUAAAUCAUACUAUAUGGGAAACCGUAAAAUGUAGCAUCUAAAAGUUUACAACUUUUGGUAGGAGGCAGUCUGUGCCUCCCACCAAAACUCAUAAGGUAUGAAUUCAUCAAACUGUAUUACAGAGAGUUUUGGUGCUAGGUGGCAGAAAAGAAUAAUCGAUGUGUGCAGUGUAUCUUCUUUUUGAGUUUAGCCAUUCUACUGGGUGAAAACUGAUUUCCCAUUCUUUCUCUUAUAACAUUUUCCUAAUACUAUGUUUAAGAUAUGUUUUAUUUCAUUUUCCUAAUUUGUACUUUUAUCUUUUUCAAUUAUUAAUAUAGUUUUGUGCUCUUAAAUUUUUAAUGCAAUUUAUAUUUUGGUAGUAUCUAAAGUAUCAAUCAUUUUAUUAUUCAUUCACCUUAAAAUGUGGCUAUGGUUUGGACAUUUGGAUUAAGUGAUGACAUUGUAAUUCAGCCAGAACUGGCAGUAAUCAUCAGUGUUUGGCAUGUUUUGAGAACAAAAGUCCCAGUUCCUGGAAGGGUGGCCCUUUAUGUGAACACAGAGUGCACACUCUGUAUGGUGUAAUCCAAGACAGUUGAACGGUCUGCCUGCCAAAAAUAUGCCUUCCACCAGGUUUUUAUAAAGACUAGUAUUACCAGCUUGAAGGCCAUUUUCUGAUUUAGGGCAUUAAAACCUAAGGACCAUGUUAAAAGACUGAAAUUAACAUUCACUGACUUGUUCAUUCAUUAAACUUUUUUAAGUUUUUUAAUUGACAAAUAAUUAUAUACAUCUAUAGGGUACAAUGUGAUGUUUUAUGUAUGUGUGUGUAUGUAUACAUGUGUAUAUAUAUAUAUAUAUUUUUUUUUUUUUUUUUUUUUUUUUUUUGAGACGGAGACUUCUCUGUCGCCCAUGCUGGAGUGCAGUGGCACUAUCUCAGCUCACUGCAAGCUCCGCCUCCCGGGUUCACACCAUUCUCCUGCCUCAGCCUCCCGAGUAGCUGGGACUAAAGGCACCCGCCACCACGCCCAGCUAAAUUUUUGUAUUUUUAGUAAAGACAGGGUUUCACCGUGUUAGCCAGGAUGGUCUUGAUCUCCUGAUCUCGUGAUCCACCUGCCUCAGCCUCCCAAAGUGCUGGGAUUACAGGCAUGAGCCACUGCACCCAGGCGAUGUAUGUGUGUAUUAUAGAAUGAUUAAAUCAAGCUACUUAACAUAUCCAUAACCUCACUUACUUAUGUUGUUUACAUGUGCUAUGAACAUUUAAAAUCCACUCUCAUAGCAAUUUUGAAAUAUACAUUACAUUAACUAUUGUCACCAUGCUGUGCAAUCGAUUUUAAAAACUUAUUCCUCCUAUUUAACCAAAACUUUGUAAAUAUUUAAUGAGUGCCUCCUAUUAGCCAGACCCUGUUUGAGGCACUAAUGACACAGAGUUGAAAGUCAAGUUUGAACCUCUCUUCUUAGGCAUAUAACUGUAGGCAAAUUGUGUCAACUCUGGCCAGUUUUCACAUUUAAAAUAGAGAUGAUAAUGCUGCCCACUUAAUGGGUUUGCUCUAAGAAUUAAAUGAUAUUGUUUACGGUGCCCAGAAGGAAGGUAGGCCCACUGGCAGUCAGCGCACGUAAUGGACCAAGGGGUCUUUGAAGAAAGAACAUAUCCAAGUACAGGCGAUGAGCUUGUAUUUGAGCACAAUGGGGCAAUGUUGAAUGGCAGUAUGGGAGGUGCUAUCUGUGAUCCUCCCACAGUCUGAUGACAGGGCCAACACCAAAAGGUGUGAUCUAAUCAAGCACCAAGCGCCCACGCAAGGGUGCUGUCCAAACCAGAGACAGCCUAUGGGGACUGCCAGUUAGCUCUGCCAAAAAACAUCCUUCCUGUCCAAGUCUCCCCCAAGUCUCUAAUAAGAAGAGCCACCUUGAAGCUUUGGACUCCAAGCAUGGCUUUCCGGUACAACUUUAACACAGAAGUUUAUAUUCAAUUACCUACAGAUACCAAAAUUAUCAUUACUAUCAUUAUUAAUAAACAUACAGUUAAUUACAACAAGGUACGACAAAUCUAUAAUAGACGUAGGCUAGGCUGCUAUGGUUGAUGAGAGUAUAGAGGGAACAGCACUUCCCAAAUUGGAGCAGAGGAAAGAAGGUUUAUAGAAGGCACCCAGAGGAGAAAAAACUUGAAUCAAGUCUUCAAGAAUGAAUAUGAGUUAUUCUGGAGAAGAAAGUAUGUGUGUUUGGCAGGAAGUACAAAUGCUUGGAGAAGACAAAUUAAAUAGCACAUCCAAACUAUGGGGAUGUGAAAGAAUGUGGAGUGUUGGUAGACUUAUGAAAGGGUAGCGUGGGCCAGGACAUAACCUAAAUGUGGGAGAAUGGAGAGAAAGGAUGCUGUUCAAAUUAUGGAUGGCUUUGUGUACGACAUUGAAUUGAGACAUUGUGUUCAAUAAUAUAAGGAGACAUAAAAUGACUUUCAGGGUGGUGGAUGGUGGGAGGUCAUGAUUAUCUGUAUUUUAGACUUUCUACUCAGAGAGUAGUGGGGAAGUUGACUGAAGGAGUUUAAGAUUAGUAACCAGGAGAGCCCCAUCAUAUCAAUGCAGUAAUCUCAUGGGGAGUGGCAAUGGCUAAAGUAGUAGCAGUAGCAAGGAAGGAAACAAUUAGAUACACACUUGAGAGGUAGAAUUGGCACUUGAGACAACUGGCUGAAGAACAAGGAGAACUCUUCAAAUAUUACCAGGUCCCUGGCCUGGACAACUGAGUUGAUGUGGCAUUAUCAAGCAUGGGAUGUAGAAGACCAGGGUCAGUUUGUUGAUUAUGUGUAGACUCUGAGAUGUCUGUGGAACACUAUUCCAAUGAGACCUGGAGCUCCCUGUAUAUAGUGAUAUUUUCAAGUUGUGACAGAUGUGUAUUUUACCAACUGGAUGAUCUCCAUGUCUCAUAUUAUCUUCCCCACAUGAUUCUUGUGAGUAUGGGCCUCAAAAGGCACCUGGUGUGAGAUUUAGAAGACAGAAGUGAAGUCGCAUUGGAUUAUUUUUAUGCUCCAGAGGUUGGAGCUGGGUAUGAGAUACAGUAACUACACAGUCAAGUUCUACCUGCCAACUCACCUUGGUGGCAACAUUCAGCCUCAUUCCUGUAUAAUCCUCUGUUCCUGCUGUAGCUCCUUCUUCAGCAUCUCUUGGGCUGGGUGAAUAAAAAAGGGGACUGGCUUCUACAGGACACCCAUGUUAUCAAGGGUUACUUCUUAGUAAGAGACUGACGUGUGUUCCAGUUCAUCUUCAUAAGCCAACUCAUCCAGAAGGUCCCAGUUUUUCCUCCUGGGUUCUAGCUCAGACUGUCAGGUUCCACUUUGUCCAUGGUUUCUUUCUUAAAUGCCUGCUGUGAUGACUUCAGGCUGAUAUAGAAGAAAAGAGCCUCCCAUAUUACUAUUGAAUUGCCUCCCAAAACUGCAAAAGGUCAAGUCUCUAUGGAUAAUCCUUACUGGUUCUUCUACUCUGAUUGAAGCCUGACUGACACAACAAAUGUGAUUUUUAUAAACCUCUUUUUCAUUGUAUACAGCUUGGUAUACAUAGUCCAACUAUCCAGACACUUUGGUCCCUGGGACCAAAGGUUAGCAGUUUUAGAAUUCCAUCAGUCUAGCACCCUGCUGUUCAGUUAGCAUUAAGCCAGUGGCCCAUCUCCUCAAGCUCAGAAAUCAUGUGUACAAUAGAUUGAAAAUCUAAAGCAGGGGUUGGCCUGCAUUUUCUGUGAAGUGCCUAAUAGUAAAUAUUUUAGGAUUUGUAGCCCAUAAAGUCUUUAUUGCAACUAUUCUGCUUGCAAUAUUGAAUAACAAGCAGCCAUAGAAAAUAUAGAAAUUUUAAAAUAUGGCUGUGUCACAAUAAAACUUUACUUACAAAAACAAACAGUACAGAUUU